GGGGAAUUUUGGACAAUGGGCGCAAGCCUGAUCCAGCCAUGCCGCGUGUCUGAAGAAGGCCUUCGGGUUGUAAAGGACUUUUGUCAGGGAAGAAAAGGCUGUCGCUAAUACCGACAGUUGAUGACGGUACCUGAAGAAUAAGCACCGGCUAACUACGUGCCAGCAGCCGCGGUAAUACGUAGGGUGCGAGCGUUAAUCGGAAUUACUGGGCGUAAAGCGAGCGCAGACGGUUACUUAAGCAGGAUGUGAAAUCCCCGGGCUCAACCUGGGAACUGCGUUCUGAACUGGGUGACUAGAGUGUGUCAGAGGGAGGUAGAAUUCCACGUGUAGCAGUGAAAUGCGUAGAGAUGUGGAGGAAUACCGAUGGCGAAGGCAGCCUCCUGGGAUAACACUGACGUUCAUGCUCGAAAGCGUGGGUAGCAAACAGGAUUAGAUACCCUGGCAGUCCACGCCCUAAACGAUGUCAAUUAGCUGUUGGGCAACUUGAUUGCUUAGUAGCGUAGCUAACGCGUGAAAUUGACCGCCUGGGGAGUACGGUCGCAAGAUUA
rnacentral:rRNA from 1 species